UACGGGGGGGGCAAGCGUUGUUCGGAAUUACUGGGCGUAAAGGGCUCGUAGGCGGCCAACUAAGUCGGACGUGAAAUCCCUCGGCUUAACCGGGGAACUGCGUCCGAUACUGGAUGGCUUGAGAUUGGGAGAGGGAUGCGGAAUUCCAGGUGUAGCGGUGAAAUGCGUAGAUAUCUGGAGGAACACCGGUGGCGAAGGCGGCAUCCUGGACCAACACUGACACUCAGGUGCGACAGCGUGGGGAGCAAACAGG
rnacentral:rRNA from 1 species